rnacentral:rRNA from 2 species
AGUGGCAGACGGGUGAGUAACGCGUGGGAACCUUCCCAAUGGUACGGAAUAACCCAGGGAAACUUGGGCUAAUACCGUAUACGCCCUUCGGGGGAAAGAUUUAUCGCCAUUGGAUGGGCCCGCGUCGGAUUAGCUAGUUGGUGAGGUAACGGCUCACCAAGGCUACGAUCCGUAGCUGGUCUGAGAGGAUGAUCAGCCACACUGGGACUGAGACACGGCCCAGACUCCUACGGGAGGCAGCAGUGGGGAAUAUUGGACAAUGGGCGAAAGCCUGAUCCAGCCAUGCCGCGUGAGUGAUGAAGGCCUUAGGGUUGUAAAGCUCUUUCGACGGGGAAGAUAAUGACGGUACCCGUAGAAGAAGCCCCGGCUAACUUCGUGCCAGCAGCCGCGGUAAUACGAAGGGGGCUAGCGUUGUUCGGAAUCACUGGGCGUAAAGCGCGCGUAGGCGGACUGAUAAGUCGGGGGUGAAAGCCCGGGGCUCAACCUCGGAAUUGCCUUCGAUACUGUCAGUCUUGAGUCCAGGAGAGGUUGGUGGAAUUCCUAGUGUAGAGGUGAAAUUCGUAGAUAUUAGGAAGAACACCAGUGGCGAAGGCGGCCAACUGGCCUGGUACUGACGCUGAGGCGCGAAAGCGUGGGGAUCAAACAGGAUUAGAUACCCUGGUAGUCCACGCCGUAAACGAUGGAAGCUAGCCGUUG